CAGUAGCCGCGGGAAUACGAAGGGGGCUAGCGUUGUUCGGAUUUACUGGGCGUAAAGGGCGCGUAGGCGGACUGAUAAGUCAGGAGUGAAAUCCCAAGGCUCAACCUUGGAACUGCCUUUGAUACUGUUUGUCUUGAGUUCGAGAGAGGUAAGUGGAACUGCGAGUGUAGAGGUGAAAUUCGUAGAUAUUCGCAAGAACACCAGUGGCGAAGGCGGCUUACUGGCUCGAAACUGACGCUGAGGCGCGAAAGCGUGGGGAGCAAACAGGAUUAGAUACCCGUGUAGUCCCUGUCUCUUAUAC
rnacentral:rRNA from 1 species